rnacentral:rRNA from 1 species
UAACCUGCCCAAGAGAUCGGGAUAACACCUGGAAACAGAUGCUAAUACCGGAUAACAACAGAUGAUGCCUAUCAACUGUUUAAAAGAUGGUUCUGCUAUCACUCUUGGAUGGACCUGCGGUGCAUUAGCUAGUUGGUAGGGUAACGGCCUACCAAGGCGAUGAUGCAUAGCCGAGUUGAGAGACUGAUCGGCCACAUUGGACUGAGACACGGCCCAAACUCCUACGGGAGGCAGCAGCA